AUUGUUUGAUUGUUCGGCUGCGUUCCAAUAUAUGUUUUGGCAUAUACGUACCUAGAUACCUAGAUAUGAACUAUAAUAAUCAUUCUCAUAAACAGUGCUGGAGCUCUUAGCAUGGCGGCGAAGAGGAUUCAGCUUCAGUAUCUGGGUCUGUGCGUGAUCAUGCUGCACCUUACGUGUGGAGAUGAAUUGAUGUCAAUCAACACACCUCUGGGUAUGAAUGUCACGCUGGACUGUAUCUCAUCUGAUAAUUUUGUGAAAAUUGAAUGGACAAAGGAUGGAAUACAGCUGUUUUUACAUAGUCUGCUAUGGGAAACAAAAAACAAAACAAAAACAAACUUCACUUCUGAAAGGAUGAGCGUUGAUCCUGCUACUCCAACGAUGCUGCAGAUAUCUGAUGUGCAGGAGUCUGAUGAGGGAAUAUACACAUGUACAGCUACAGAUUAUACAGAGAUAAAGACAAAAUGGAACUUGACCAUUUCUUCAGGUCACCCAUCAAAAUUGAUCCUUAUCAGUAUUGGUGCCAUAUCAGGGACAAUCUGUAAUCAUCAUUGUCAUCAUCCUCAUAUUAUGUAUUCACAGGAGAAGCAAAGGUCCAGACCUUCCCAGUGGUGCUGAAACAGAACAUGAAGAUGAAGGCCAUGAAAUGACAACAGUGAUUUUCACAGCCAAGCAACUUUAGGCACACAAAUAGUCAUUUCAUAUUCGAUUCACUUUUCAAUCAUUUUAUUUUGAGUUAUUUUUAGCAUGUUAUGCUAUUGAUUGUCUGAUUUACUGUUGUUGUUUG
ensembl:lncRNA